rnacentral:rRNA from 1 species
CCCAGACUCCUACGGGAGGCAGCAGUGGGGGAUAUUGCACAAUGGGGGAAACCCUGAUGCAGCGACGCCGCGUGAGUGAAGAAGUAAUUCGUUACGUAAAGCUCUAUCAGCAGGGAAGAAAAUGACGGUACCUGACUAAGAAGCCCCGGCUAACUACGUGCCAGCAGCCGCGGUAAUACGUAGGGGGCAAGCGUUAUCCGGAUUUACUGGGUGUAAAGGGAGCGUAGACGGUUGUGCAAGUCUGAAGUGAAAGCCCGCGGCUCAACUGCGGAACGGCUUUGGAAACUGUGUAACUGGAGUGCUGGAGAGGUAAGCGGAAUUCCUGGUGUAGCGGUGAAAUGCGUAGAGAUCAGGAGGAACACCGGCGGCGAAGGCGGCUUACUGGACAGUAACUGACGUUGAGGCUCGAAAGCGUGGGGAGCAAACAGGAUUAGAUACCCCAGUA